rnacentral:rRNA from 1 species
UACGAAGGGGGCUAGCGUUGCUCGGAAUCACUGGGCUUAAAGGGCGCGUAGGCGGGCUGUCAAGUCUGGGGUGAAAUGCUGCGGCUCAACCGUAGAACUGCCUCAGAUACUGACGGCCUCGAGGAAGGUAGGGGCAUGCGGAACUGUAGGUGGAGCGGUGAAAUGCGUUGAUAUCUACAGGAACUCCGGUGGCGAAAGCGGCGUGCUGGACCUUUUCUGACGCUGAGGCGCGAAAGCUAGGGGAGCAAACGGGG